rnacentral:rRNA from 16 species
AAAGUGUAACGGAGGAGUUCGAAGGUACGCUAGUUACGGUCGGACAUCGUGACGAUAGUGCAAUGGCAUAAGCGUGCUUAACUGCGAGACUGACAAGUCGAGCAGAUGCGAAAGCAGGACAUAGUGAUCCGGUGGUUCUGUAUGGAAGGGCCAUCGCUCAACGGAUAAAAGGUACUCUGGGGAUAACAGGCUGAUACCGCCCAAGAGUUCAUAUCGACGGCGGUGUUUGGCACCUCGAUGUCGGCUCAUCACAUCCUGGGGCUGUAGCCGGUCCCAAGGGUAUGGCUGUUCGCCAUUUAAAGUGGUACGUGAGCUGGGUUUAAAACGUCGUGAGACAGUUUGGUCCCUAUCUGCCGUGGGCGUUGGAAAUUUGAAGGGGGCUGCUCCUAGUACGAGAGGACCGGAGUGGACGAACCUCUGGUGUACCGGUUGUCACGCCAGUGGCAUCGCCGGGUAGCUAAAUACGGACGGGAUAACCGCUGAAAGCAU